GCUCUUACGAUCGGGAACUUGUCGGUUGGGUGUAGCAUCACCCUCAGAGCGAAGAGAUGGCAGGGACCCAGGCUCUGGGAGGGCAGAGCUAGGUUGUUCC